rnacentral:rRNA from 1 species
UACCUACGGGGCGCAGCAGUUAGGAAUAUUCGUCAAUGGGGGAAACCCUGAACGAGCAAUGCCGCGUGAACGAUGACGGUCCUCUGGAUUGUAAAGUUCUGUUGUUUGGGAAGAACGGCUCUAAUAGGAAAUGAUUAGAGAUUGACUGUACCAUUCAAGAAAGCCACGGCUAACUACGUGCCAGCAGCCGCGGUAAUACGUAUGGUGCAAGCGUUAUCCGGAUUUACUGGGUGUAAAGGGAGCGCAGGCGGCACGGCAAGCCUGAUGUGAAAGCC